GACAAUGCUCGAGCCCCCAUCAAACGAACGGUUGAUACAGUUUUGGCCAAGACGGAAUUUGAAAAGCCCCUUCACCACAAGCUGUACUAUCUGAGGCAGGUGACUCCCACGAUAUAGUUGGCAAACGAGUAUAAGGCAAAGCAUUUGAAUUAAGAACAUAUCCUGCGCAACGAUUGAAAUCUUUGUGAAACGUCCUCUUUCUACGAGACAAAAACCGGAAAGCUGAUCCGCCUACGAGAGUCCCGCUUCUUGCUCUGGUAUCCUCAGGUGAGGUUACGUCACGUCUAGAUGGCUGUAAUGGUAUUACAUAAUUAGAUCCUCGACAAAUUUUUCAGCCGUUCCGUCCAGUCGUUCGUGGAUGAAAGGGAAUCUGUUGGUUUUCCUAGAUGGUUAAAAUUAUGGCCGAGUGUCUUCUUUAGAGACAAUUUCCGCCUUUUUUUUUUUAGACAUUGAAUGAAAAUGUAUCGUGUUUGUCCAACAAAGGAUCAUCUCUUGACAUGGAAAGAAGAGAACAAUUGAUGCAAGAUCGUGAUUU